rnacentral:misc_RNA from 1 species
CGAUUCUAGCUUUCCUGGAUCGUGAACCAAGGGGCUGUGGGGGAGGAAGGGCAGCCUAUGAUAAGUCAAUUCCGCAAGAAAGUAAAAAGGAAAAAGAAGAACCGGAAGUCGGAAGAUGACCUUUGGUAGAGGUCUUACGCGGAAGUGAUAGUCUAGCACAAUCUCAGAUUAGGGGUAGCCCUUGUCGGAGCACCAAAGACUUUUUUUUAUAAAAAAUAGUAGCAGCCCUAGCUCCAUAGCUCGUAGCUCAACCGAUUGCAACUAAUGGGGCCGGUCAGAAGCUUCUUUACGCUGCUGAUACCCGGUGUGGUUCUUACUCGCUUCCCCCUGGUGCGGUGCCUUCUCUUUCUAUAUAGAAUACGUCCAACCAGUCCCCACACGCCCGAUCACGAACACAGGUCCCGAAAACCGGGCACAAGUCUAGGACCAAACCAGGCUCCAUAGCCCGAGGUCCUGACUCAAGUCAAAAGACCAAAUCGGGAGCGAAAGGCGGUGGACAUUCUCUUUAAGUAAUCAAUGGCGCACGAGCGAUUAAGCGGGCAUCUCCUGAUUCGAUGCUCUAUUGAACUACGGCCGCUCCUACUUUCUUCUUAGUGGUUUGGUACUCCCCUUUUUAAGAAGUAAGAAGGGCUCUUUGUCGCUACAGGAAAGCCAGUGCAUGAAGAUCUAUUCCCCUAGUCCUACGACCUUCCCGCCUAAGGGGGUGGAUUGAGGCCUGUAGUUCGUGUUCCCUGGCCAAAAUGGGGAAAUCACACAAGGAAAUCAAGUCUAGCUCCACCCGGGCGGUACUUCCACGAAAGAACCAUAAAGUCAAAAAGGAACUAGCUCCAACUGCUACUAUUCGCGGAACAUCUACUUUUAAAUGGAACCCCCGCAGGACGAAGCACAGAUCAGUAGAUAUUCGAGUCUAACUGCUUUCACUAAUGGAACCCGGUCAAAUUG